rnacentral:rRNA from 1 species
AACAGCCCAUCGCCCAAUCCGCCGCCAGCCUGGCGGACCGGAAAUUUGGCGUAUAGGAGAGACCCUUCCGAGUUCCGACUCCGGUGCAAGUCCCCCUGACUGGGGCUCUUACCCCGAGAGGGUGCAAGGCCCGUAGCUGCCGGAAGGCGGUACUCGGAUGUCCUCUCCUGGGAGUCGGGUUGCUUGAGAGUGCAGCCCUAAUCAGGUGGUAAACUCCAUCUAAGGCUAAAUACGACCUGGAGACCGAUAGCGAACAAGUACCGUGAGGGAAAGUUGAAAAGGACUUUGAAGAGAGAGUUCAAGAGUACGUGAAACCGUUCGGAGGUAAACGAGUGGGCCCUCGAAUUGAGAAGGCGGGGGGACUCAGCCGAACGCCGCUGCCUGCCGUCGUGUCCGCGCUUCCCUCCCGGGACGCGGUGCGGCGGAUGUCGGCGGCGGCGGACGGCGCAUUUCUUCCCGUCCUCCGACGCUGCGACCGGUCGGGCGCGCCACGAGCAGUCGGCCUUACACGCGGGAGCUGGCAGGUAGCCGGGACAGUGCAUCCGCGCUGUCUCCGGUGUUUAGCCGUCCCGUUUUCGUGCAGCCGUUCGCCCGACCGCAGGACUCGGCCCUUAGGGGCCCGGCCGUGCCCUCCCCCUGGCGGGGAUCGGUUCUCGGCCCGGAAGGGAGGCCGUCGUCUCUUCCCCGUUUCACCCUAGUGUGGGCGGGGAGCGGCGGCGCCCGUUCGCCGGGUCGUUUCCGAGCGGGUGCNNAACACGGACCAAGGAGUUUAACAUGCACGCGAGUCAUUGGGUCGUGAACAGGCCCAAAGGCGCAAUGAAAGUGAAGGGCGGCUCUCCGUCGUCCGCGUUGGGAUCCGGCGGCCUCGGCCGUCGGCGCACCAACGGCUCGUCCGUGCCGCCACGUCGGCCGGGCGAAGCUAUAGCGUGCACGUUGAGACCCGAAAGAUGGUGAACUAUGGCUGGGCAGGACGAAGCCAGAGGAAACUCUGGUGGAGGUCCGCAGCGGUUCUGACGUGCAAAUCGAUCGUCAGACCUGGCUAUAGGGGCGAAAGACUAAUCGAACCAUCUAGUAGCUGGUUCCCUCCGAAGUUUCCCUCAGGAUAGCUGGCGCUCGGGAGGAAGCAGUCUCAUCCGGUAAAGCGAAUGAUUAGAGGCCUUGGGGCCGAAAAGACCUCAACCUAUUCUCAAACUUUCAAUGGGUGAGAAGUCCGGUUUGCUCGAUUGAAGCCUGGACAUUCUCGGAUGCGAGUGCCCAGUGGGCCACUUUUGGUAAGCAGAACUGGCGCUGUGGGAUGAACCAAACGACGGGUUAAGGGGCCCGAUGCAGGACGCUCAUGAGAACCCAUGAAAGGUGUUGGUUGCUAUAGACAGCAGGACGGUGGCCAUGGAAGUCGGAAUCCGCUAAGGAGUGUGUAACAACUCACCUGCCGAAGCAACUAGCCCUGAAAAUGGAUGGCGCUUCAGCGUCGACCCCAUACCCGUCCGCCGCGGCGGAGAUGCGAUCGCAUUAUGCCGCGGUGAGUAGGAGGGCGCGGGGGCGCGCGUGGAAGGUGCCGGGCGUAAGCCCGCCUGGAGCCGCCCCCGGUGCAGAUCUUGGUGGUAGUAGCAAAUACUCAAGUGAGAACCUUGAGGACUGAGGUGGAGAAGGGUUCCAUGUGAACAGCAGUUGAACAUGGGUCAGUCGGUCCUAAGGGAUGUCCGAAAGGAUUUCCGAAGGGGGCACCUUAUCUAAUGGUCUCUCCCAUGACCGAAAGGGAAUCGGGUUAAUAUUCCCGAACCCGGACACGGAGAUCGGCCCCCUCGGGGGCACGUGCGGUAACGCAAACGACCUAGGAGACGUCGACGGGGGUCCCGGGAAGAGUUGUCUUUUCUUUGUAAGGGUUCGGCUCCCUGGAAUCGGCUCGCCCGGAGAUAGGGAUGCUGAACCCGUAAAGCACCGCGCCUCUUGUGGUGUCCGGAGCGCUCCCGUCGGCCCUUGAAAAUCCUAGCGAGAGUUGGUGAUUUUCGUGCCGGCCCGUACCCAUAUCCGCAGCAGGU